rnacentral:misc_RNA from 1 species
AAAACAGAAGUCCACGGCCAGAAUCUGAUGCAUACCCGGAUAAACCGCGGACGCCAACGAACCACGGAGAACGCGCGUAUAGUUUACAGAUGCAAUGGAUGACCUAAAUAAGGACCAGAUAGCUCUGCUGAAGAAAGCCUUCGACGCUUUCGAUCAUGAAAAGAAGGGCAGCAUCGGUACUAACAUGGUGGGUACUAUAUUGACCAUGUUGGGUCACGAGCUUAGCGAAAGCACGCUGCAGGAAAUCAUCAGCGAAGUAGAUGAGGACGGUUCUGGUGAACUCGAGUUCGAGGAGUUUUGCACGCUAGCUGCUAGAUUCUUGGUAGAAGAGGAUUCUGAAGCGAUGCAACAAGAAUUACGUGAGGCAUUCCGAUUGUACGACAAAGAGGGAAACGGCUAUAUAACUACCGCUGUGUUUCGCGAUAUUCUCCACGAACUCGAUGACAAGCUAUCGCCGGAAGAACUUGAUCUUAUGAUUGAAGAGAUUGACGCUGAUGGCUCAGGGACGCUUGAUUUUGACGAGUUUAUGGAAGUCAUGACAGGAGGUGACGACUAAGGCGAGCGACUACGGCUGAUAACGAACGGGCACUCGAAGGCCGAGGUUGGCCGCGCAAUUGGCAAUAUCCGUCAGAGAGAUCGAGCGUUCCUUCUUCAUCAGCCUGCGCACAUACGCUUCUGUAAACUGCUAAAUUACGACCGAGCGGAAAAUUGGACGUUAACGAUCAACUCGUGCUAUCAUUGGCUGACGAUCGGCGGCUUUCAUCAAGGUGCAAGCUUUCUGAUGGCAUAACAUAUCCAUCAUACAAUUCAUUUCC